AGAAACCGAUGAUUUAUAUACCUAAAGUUCUGUAUGUACUCUAUAUCACUAAAAUGG
rnacentral:sRNA from 1 species